rnacentral:rRNA from 1 species
UACGGAGGAUGCAAGCGUUAUCCGGAAUGAUUGGGCGUAAAGCGUCCGCAGGUGGCUAUGUAAGUCUGCUGUUAAAGAGUGAGGCUCAACCUCAUAAGAGCAGUGGAAACUACAUGGCUAGAGUGCGUUCGGGGCAGAGGGAAUUCCUGGUGUAGCGGUGAAAUGCGUAGAGAUCAGGAAGAACACCGGUGGCGAAGGCGGCAUCCUGGACCGGCAUUGACGCUGAGGCGCGAAAGCCAGGGGAGCAAACGGG